rnacentral:rRNA from 1 species
GGUUGAAAUCAUACCAGCACUAAUGCACCGGACCCAUCCGAACUCCGAGGUUAAACGUGCUUGGGCGAAUCUAGUACUAUGAUGGGUGACCUCUUGGUAAGUCCUCGUGUUGCACCCC